rnacentral:rRNA from 1 species
GAUGAACGCUGGCGGCGUGCCUAAUACAUGCAAGUCGAGCGAAUGGAUUAAGAGCUUGCUCUUAUGAAGUUAGCGGCGGACGGGUGAGUAACACGUGGGUAACCUGCCCAUAAGACUGGGAUAACUCCGGGAAACCGGGGCUAAUACCGGAUAACAUUUUGAACCGCAUGGUUCGAACUUGAAAGGCGGCUUCGGCUGUCACUUAUGGAUGGACCCGCGUCGCAUUAGCUAGUUGGUGAGGUAACGGCACACCAAGGCAACGAUGGGUAGCCGACCUGAGAGGGUGAUCGGCAACACUGGGACUGAGACACGGCCCAGACUCCGACGGGAGGCAGCAGUAGGGAAUCUUCCGCAAUGGACGAAAGUCUGACGGAGCAACGCCGCGUGAGUGAUGAAGGCUUUCGGGUCGUAAAACUCUGUUGUUAGGGAAGAACAAGUGCUAGUUGAAUAAGCUGGCACCUUGACGGUACCUAACCAGAAAGCCACGGCUAACUACGUGCCAGCCGCCGCCGUAA